UACGUAGGGCGCGAGCGUUGUCCGGGAAUUAUUGGGCGUAAAGAGCUUGUAGGCGGUUUGUCGCGUCUGCCGUGAAAAUUCGAGGCUCAACCUCGAACUUGCGGUGGGUACGGGCAGACUAGAGUGUGGUAGGGGAGACUGGAAUUCCUGGUGUAGCGGUGAAAUGCGCAGAUAUCAGGAGGAACACCGAUGGCGAAGGCAGGUCUCUGGGCCACUACUGACGCUGAGAAGCGAAAGCAUGGGGAGCGAACAGG
rnacentral:rRNA from 1 species